CUCAUUCUGUCUUGCCGCCACAAUGUAAGAAUUGUCUCUCACCCUCUGCCAUGUAAGAAUUCUCUUUCACCCUCUGCCGUGAUCGUGAGACCUUCCCCAGCCAUGUGAAACUGGUCUCACUCUGUCGCCCAGGCUGCAGUGCAGUGGUGUGAUCAUGGCUCACCGCAGCCUUGACCUCCUAGGCUCAAGCGAUCCUUUCACCUCAGCUUCCUAAGUAGCCAGGACUACAGUUUUCAGCUUUCCUCCACUGUUUUGGGAAACGUCACCUUCUUAUCUUGGAAGAGUAAUCUCAAAAUUGAAGCAUCUUAGAUCCAACAAGAAUUAAAAGGAUGGGAAGUCCUUGCAGCCAUCCAAUAGAGUCAGAAGACUUUGGAUUUUGGAGUCUGUGAGAUUAUCUUACAGAGCAAGACUGCAGAUCAAGAUUUUCCAACGUGGUGCUGACUUUUUUGAGAACAGUUAAUGAGAACUAGGAAAGUCCUUGCAGACCAUCCAGUCCAGCGGCUUUCAAAUGGAAAAUGUGAAAGGACAACAGAAUCACAUGGAUUCUUUUCUGAACUGCUUUUUUCCAGUGAUGCCAUAUUCUAUAAGACUUCAUGUGAAGGUGUGGAGGACGGGAUGUACUCACAUCCCAACAAAUUGAAAAUGCUGACCAAUCCCAGCACAGCCAACUCGAAUUUGCUCCUUCAUCAAAGUGACCAGCACCUCAUUUCUUCCUCUUUAGAAUUUAUAGUUCAGGAACUUUGCAGAUCUCUUAUUAACUCUUCAGUUAAUAAUGAGAGUCCUAUGGCUAUUGAUAUCUAACAUCCUGGCUUCACUCACAUGGAUGAGCCCCACCUGGAAUGCCUAGAAGACGUGGGACAGCUGGAUCUCUCUCCACACGGUUUUUCAUUGUUGCCUCAGGUUCCAAUAAAAGCAAAAGCUGCAAGGUCUUCUGAGGCAAAGACUUAGAAAUACCACAAUGUUACUUCUGCUGCAUUCUGUUGAUAAAAGAAUCCCACAAUGCCAGCUUCAUUUAAAGGGGUAAAGAUAUAGAUUAUUCACCUUCGAUGGGAGGAACUGCAAAUGAUGUAAUUAGUGAUAAUUUUUAAUAUACUGUAAUGUAUUGACUUAUCUUUAAAAAAUGAAAAAAUAAACCAAAAACUAAAAGCAAAACAAAACUAUAAUAGAAAACAAUUGCUUCUGGAGGAGGAAUGCAAUGGGGAAAAGGUUAUAGAAACAAAAGCUACAUUUUAUUUGAAUAUACCUGUUUUAGGUUUGACCCUGGUAACAUUUGAUAUUUUACAUAAUUAUAUCAUUAUUUAAAAUUAAAUUUUAAAACACCAAUACCCAUAACAGAAAAGUUUGAUAAAAGAGGUGAAAUAUAAAUAUAAAUAUAUUAAGUUUGCAUUAUAAUCACACAGAGAUGAAUUGUGUCAGUUACUCAAACACAGAUAUUUGACUAUACAACCUUUAUAAGAUAUCCUAAGGACAAAAAAACAUGCAAAAAUAUAUAUUGAACUGUUUUAAAAUUAUAUUUUUUUGCAAUUGAAUUGUUAUUGUGAGACAGGUGUGUACAUAUUUUAAGAUCAAGCAAGUUAGUAAGCUUGUUGACAUUAUUGUAAAUGGGAUUUGUCCCAUGGGGUAAAGAAGAUAUAAUAGCAAGUAGAAGAAAAUAAAUGAAAACCCAUUAAUAUGAGUUUGAAGUUAAAGUAUCAGUAUGAAGUCAUGAAGCAUUUUCCCAACAAAAAGAAAAAAAUAGUUUCCUAGUUCUAAUCACUUAAAAGUAUAUAGAAACAACAUAAAACUCAAUAUCAAGAGGAAAUGUAACUCAGAUGUGCUCUGUAGACAUUUCCCCUAAAAGGAGUUGAAGUUCAUUGCAAACAAGUAUCUAAUUCCAGCUUGGGGUUUGAAUAUUGUACAAGAUGGGCCUGGAAUAUCAAAUUCUCUUACUAAAAAGCAAGGCAGAUUUGAAAGACUAUUAGGAUGCAUCAAAGAGACUCAGAGGAGUCACCCUGAAGAGGUUACCAUUGGCCAAAGGUAAAAAUUUGAGAAUCAAUAAGAAAAUCAAAGGCAGUAGAUUAAAAUGCCUCAAAUAUGCUUAAAUCUAUCUGUUCCUAAUAAUGUUAAUUUAAAAAUAAUGUUGUCAUUGGACAGCUUUGAAGAAUGUUAGGGAUCCAUAAGAAUGUACAGUUUUGAAUUAAAGAGAAGAAUUGAGCAUUUAUCCUGUUUUUCCUUUAUGGAUUAUGUCUAAGGAUAACCAAAUGUUGAUGACAGAAAAUCCUUUUUAAAGAUACCUUUAGCCAAAGAAUGAAGAAAGAAUGAUAGAAUUGAAAUGUUACCAUUUUUGCAACCCCUAAUGAAAUAAUGAAUCUAGCCAGUUGUUAUCAAUUGUUGCUAACAUAAAAAAUGAGAGACAAACAGACACGCCUCUUCAUAGAAGUAUAUGAUACCACCUAUAAAAUAUUACUGCCAGAAAAAAAAAUCAAACUUUGGAUCUAAUUACCAAUUAGAUCAGCCUUUAGCUCUAACAACCAAUUUGCAAUAUUUACAGGAGAUACAGGAGCAUGUUGAAUGACACCAUAAAAAGGCAAUCAGUAAAAUUUAGUUUAUUAUAAACUAUAUAGGAUAAGUGAUCCAGUUGCUGCAAUAAAUAUAUUACAGAAGGUGUGUAUUGGCGGGUGGGAGAUAAAGGAGCAAUCUAUAGAUAAAAACAGACUUAAGGGACAUAAAAACAACUUUAAUGUAUGGAUCUUAUUUGGAUCCUUAAGAAAACAAAUUGUAAAGUAGCAUGAGACAUUUGAAGAAAAUAGAAAUAGUUUUUAAGUGUGGUAAUGAUAUCGUGGUUAUACGUUGUUAAAGAAUGCCUUUAGAGGUAAAUACAGAAAUAUUUGCAGAUGAACUAAAAUGAUGUCUAGAAUUUACAUAAAAGUAAUCCUGUAGGGAGAGUGAAGAAGUGGAAAGAGUGGAUAUUGAUAGGCAAGAGUAGCUAUAAUUUGACCACUGCUGAAUGUUGUUGAUGGAUAAAUGAAAAUGUAUUAUAUAUUUUUUUACUUAUAUAUUUGAAGAUUUUGAUUUUUAAUAAAGUGAAGCUGAGAAAGGGAAAAUCAUUUUUCUUGAUGUCAGGCUUUGAACAGAGAUAAAAGUAAAACCACUGUAGACCAAAGUGGAAAAAUAAAAAGCAAACAUAAACUUUUAUGCUUUCAGCUCUCUAUUACUGGCUUGUAUUUUUUUUUUAAUCUUUAUUUUAAGUUCCAGGGUACAUGUGCAGGAUGUGCAGGUUUGUUGCUUUUGUAAAUGUGUGCCAUGGUGGUUUGCUACAUCUAUCAACCCAUCAUCUAGGUAUUAAGCCCAGAAUGCAUUACCUAUUUUUCCUAAUGCUCUCCCUCCCCCCACUCUACCCCCCAACAGGUCCCAGGAUGUGUUAUUUCCUUCCCCGUGUGCAUGUGUUCUUAUUGUUCAGUUCCCACAUAAAAGUGAGAACAUAUGGUGUUUGGUUUUCUAUUUCUGCAUUAGUUUGCUGAGGAUAAUGGAUUCUAGAUCCAUUCAUGGCCCUGCAAAGGACAUGAUCUCAUUCCUUUUUAUGGCUGCAUAGUAUUCCAUGGUGUACAGGUACUUUUGAUUGCCUAUUUCAUUUACUUAAACAUAUUCAACCUUUCAAAAAAAUAUUGUUGGUACUUGAAAAUUACAAUAAAUUUGGUGUUUUGGGGUCUGA
rnacentral:lncRNA from 1 species